rnacentral:rRNA from 1 species
AUGACCACGGGAACCGACACAAAGGUGGUGGCACGUCAGGCUCAGGCUCAUCCUCCUCGUCUUCGAGUGACCAACACAAAGGUGGCACCUCAGGCUCAUCGUCCUCGUCGUCUUCAAGUGACCACGGGAACAACCACAGAGGUGGCACCUCAGGCUCAGGCUCAGGCUCAGGCUCAGGCUCAUCCUCCUCGUCGUCGUCUUCAGGCGACCACGCGAAUCGGCCGGGAGGUGGCACCUCCGCCUCCUCCUCGUCUGCGAAUGACCACGGGCACCGUCGCGGACACAGCGGCACCACCUCCUCGGGUUACAGGGGCCCUCUUCGGCCGAGAGGCGGACCUAAAGUCCAUAACGUGA